rnacentral:lncRNA from 1 species
UGGCUUGUAGAAAAUUUUAACUUCAAAUGGUAGGUCGAUACCAUAACUCGGAGAGCGUUGAGGCCAGGUCGGUCGAGUAUCACGUUGUAGGCAGACGGCGCCCUUACUACCAGAAAAUCCACUUACGCUCUAGAUUGUUUCUGAUACCGACCUACAACUACGGUCAAAGUUAUUACUCCUUCCACUGGCACAGCAUCGCCAGUGAACCCUACCAAUGGGGAGCUUAUCG